rnacentral:rRNA from 1 species
UUUUAAGGUCAAGCUACAAAGGGCGCAUGGUGAAUGCCUUGGCACUAGGAGCCGAAGAAGGACGCGAUAAGCUGCGAUAAGCCUUGGGUAGCCGCAAAUAGGCUGAGAUCCAGGGAUUUCCGAAUGAGGAAACUCACAUGGGUAACCCCAUGUAUCAUGCACUGAAUACAUAGGUGUAUGAGGGUAAACCCGGGGAACUGAAACAUCUAAGUACCCGGAGGAAGAGAAAGAAAAAUCGAUUUCCUAAGUAGCGGCGAGCGAACGGGAAAGAGCCCAAACCAGAAACUUGUUUCUGGGGUUGUGGAUAGAUCAUGAAAGAAGAGAUAUCUUAAUCGAAGAGGGCUGGAACGCCCUACCAUAGAAGGUAAUAGUCCUGUAGGUAAAAAGAGAAAACUUUAAGAUCUAAUCCAGAGUACCACGAGACACGUGAAACCUUGUGGGAAGCAGGGAGGACCACCUCCCAAGGCUAAAUACUACCUAGUGACCGAUAGUGAAGCAGUACCGUGAGGGAAAGGUGAAAAGAACCCCGGAAGGGGAGUGAAAUAGAACCUGAAACCGUGUGCCUACAACCGAUCGGAGCACGUUAAAGUGUGACGAUGUGCUUUUUGUAGAACGAGCCAGCGAGUUACACUAUGUAGCAAGGUUAAGUACUUAAGGUAUGGAGCCGAAGGGAAACCGAGUCUGAAAAGGGCGAAAAGUUGCAUGGUGUAGACCCGAAACCGGGUGACCUAUCCAUGGCCAGGGUGAAGCGAGAGUAAAAUCUCGUGGAGGACCGAACCACGUUGGUGUUGAAAAACCAUGGGAUGAGCUGUGGAUAGCGGAGAAAUUCCAAUCGAACUCGGAGAUAGCUGGUUCUCCUCGAAAUAGCUUUAGGGCUAGCGUC